UAUGGACAGUGUUCUUUUUUGAGAUGCUUCAUUUUUUUAUCUGUGAACAUAGAGCUGAUGUGACUUGCCAAAAAGCUCCAGUUUUGUCUCAUCUGUCCAAAGGACAUUCUCCCAGAAGCUUUAUUGCUUGACAAUAUGUAUUUUGGCAAAUUCUAAUCUUGCAU